GAUGAAGAACGUAGUGAAAUGCGAUAAGUAAUGUGAAUUGCAGAAUUCAGUGAAUCAUCGAAUCUUUGAACGCACAUUGCGCCCGCCAGUAUUCUGGCGGGCAUGCCUGUUCGAGCGUCAUUUCAACCAUCAAGCCCCAGGCUUGUGUUGGGGACCUGCGGCUGCCGCAGGCCCUGAAAAACAGUGGCGGGCUCGCUAGUCACACCGAGCGUAGUAGCAUACACAUCGCUUAGGACGUGCUGCGGGUUCCGGCCGUUAAACCCCCCAAUAUAUCAAGGUUGACCUCGGAUCAGGUAGGAAGACCCGCUGAACUUAAGCAUAUCAAUAAGCGGAGGA
rnacentral:misc_RNA from 1 species